rnacentral:lncRNA from 1 species
GGGUGGAGUCCGUCCGUCGCGAUGAAUCCGGCCGACACUGGUGGGGGCUUAUCCGUCAGCAAAACUUGGGAGUGUUGUGGAGGCUCGGCCGCCAGAGAGGUUCGGAAAGAUAUCACCGAAGGUUGGAAGUCGGUAGAAUCCCCGGAGGGUCACUCCUGUCAUGAACUUCGGUUGGGGGGUAUUUUAUACCCAACACAUUCAAUGUUAAAAUUACGAUAUCCCGUAGGUAACGUACCUUUCGAUAGUAUGUUUGAUAAUAUUAUGAUAUGAUAGGUCUAAAUUAUUAUAUUCUAAGAGUGCAUCACUUCGUCUGAUUGGUCCACAUUGUGCCCUCG